UAGAAGCCCAACUUCACCUCUCCCACCCCCCCUUUUUAAAAAAAUAAUAGCUAGACUGGUGACUGAUUCUUCAGCAAAAUUAUUUUAUGAUCCAGCAAAUUAUUCACUGAUUUGGCAUAGGCUGGCAGAACCCAGGAAUCGAGUCUGCUCGGAGAAUGGCUUUGUAUAGAACCUCUUCGUCUGCACCACCGUGCGCGUUGAUAUGCGUUUAUGGAACGCAUUGCAAUUGUAAUUAUAUCUGAGGAAUUCUGUAUAGACUAGAGAAUGUUGAAAUGAAUGAUUUCUAUGCUGAGUUUGUGCUGGUGUAUGUGUGAAGUGAGUGAGUUGGGUGUAUCGUGCACUAAAAUUUUCUGAUAGAGGAAGCCUGAUUAAAGAAUGGUCCAUGCUAAGGACUUGUUAGAUCUAUUUCUAUAUUGUCAUUCUUCUGACUAUCACCUGUCUUGCCUUUUUCAUUAUUUUAUUAUGAAACUUGUGUAAAUACAAUCUUGUUUCUGUACUUUUUUGGCAUAACAUAAAUCUGUGAAUUUGAAAUUUUAAUUUUGUGUUAGAAAUUUUUUUUGUUUGUUUAGUCUUGUCUCAGAUUUUAUUAUGUAAAUCCCAUUAUUCAAAGUUGCCUAAAUCCAUUUGGAAAUCUUUAAAAAAAAAAAAAAUUGGGGAUUCUUAAAGUGAGUUUAUUGGCUUUUCUGAUCCAGUUUUUGUUUGGACCAAAAACCAGUAUUGUACAAAGUAUUAAGCAUAUAUUUUUAUAUUUACUGAAAUGGACUGUGGUGACUUUGGAUAAUAAGGAAAAGUUUAAUAUUAAAGCCAUGUUUAUUACAGUAUAAUUAACAUGUUAAACCAUGGGAUAAAUGCCAUCAAUAAAAAAUUAUGAAAUACUUUUUGCUCUAGUGUUAAAUUAUAGUGAAGGUAAAAGUGUUAGUGGAAGGGAAUCUUUUUAUAGAAGUUGACAGUGGUCAGUUAGAGAAAUUCCAAAGAAUACAUUUAAGUGAUUUGGACAGCUCCUAAGUGAAAGGGAAAUGUCUGAAGGUACGCUCGC
rnacentral:lncRNA from 1 species